GUGGUGGAAGUGAAGUUUGGAGGGGUGAGGUUACUUCAGAUUGUCUUGUGGGUUGUGGAGCGAAAUUUUUAGCAUAAAUUUCAGCUAUUGUUGGGGACUUAGGGUCAGAGUGUUCUUGGUCAGAGGACUCUUGAUCAGAUAACUCUUGGUCAGAAGAAGGGGAAAGGUAAGGGGGUGAUUCAUAUUCAGAGGAUGAGGAAGAAGAAGUGCGUUGGUGGGUUUGUAUAGGUUGAGAGGGAGGAAUGAAAGUUCUAGCUAUGUUUAGAACUGGUGUUGGUUGGGAGGUUCUGGUGAUUGAGGGUGGUAUUUCAGAGGUGGUAUAUAUUGGUUGUGAAGAGAGAGGGUUAGAGGAAGCCAUUAUAGAUGCAGAGGAGACAGGAGGAAUAGGACUUACCAGAAGGACAUUCAGAGGAUGCUGAGUUUUGCUGCCAGAAGUUUCUCCAAGUCUGGCUUUCUUUGCUCUCCUUGCCUCAGCAGCUAUCUGUUUCUCAGAGACACCUCUCUUGUAUCUGACAAGAUCUUCUACAGAGUCCAGACAGUC
rnacentral:lncRNA from 1 species